GGUUAAGCGACUAAGCGUACACGGUGGAUGCCCUGGCAGUCAGAGGCGAUGAAGGGCGUGCUAAUCUGCGAUAAGCGCCGGUAAGGUGAUAUGAACCGUUAUAACCGGCGAUACCCGAAUGGGGAAACCCAGUGUGAUUCGUCACACUAUCAUUAACUGAAUCCAUAGGUUAAUGAGGCGAACCGGGGGAACUGAAACAUCUAAGUACCCCGAGGAAAAGAAAUCAACCGAGAUUCCCCCAGUAGCGGCGAGCGAACGGGGAGGAGCCCAGAGCCUGAAUCAGCAUGUGUGUUAGUGGAAGCGUCUGGAAAGGUGCGCGAUACAGGGUGACAGCCCCGUACACAAAAGCGCAUGUGCUGUGAGCUCGAUGAGUAGGGCGGGACACGUGAUAUCCUGUCUGAAUAUGGGGGGACCAUCCUCCAAGGCUAAAUACUCCUGACUGACCGAUAGUGAACCAGUACCGUGAGGGAAAGGCGAAAAGAACCCCGGCGAGGGGAGUGAAAAAGAACCUGAAACCGUGUACGUACAAGCAGUGGGAGCACAGGUUUACCUGUGUGACUGCGUACCUUUUGUAUAAUGGGUCAGCGACUUAUAUUCUGUAGCAAGGUUAACCGUAUAGGGGAGCCG
rnacentral:rRNA from 1 species